rnacentral:rRNA from 1 species
AUCCAAGGAAGGCAGCAGGCGCGCAAAUUACCCACUCCCGGCACGGGGAGGUAGUGACGAAAAAUAACAAUACGGGACUCUCUUGAGACCCCGUAAUUGGAAUGAGUACACUCUAAAUCCUUUAACGAGGAUCUACUGGAGGGCAAGUCUGGUGCCAGCAGCCGCGGUAAUUCCAGCUCCAGUAGCGUAUAUUAAAGUUGUUGCGGUUAAAAAGCUCGUAGUUGGAUCUCAGUUACAGACGGGUGGUCCGCCUUACGGCGGUUACUGCCCGGCCUGAACAGCCAGUCGGUUUCCCUAGAUGAUCUUCACCGGUUGUCUUGGGUGACCGACACGUUUACUUUGAAAAAAUUAGAGUGCUCAAAGCAGGCGCGACGCCUGAAUAAUGGUGCAUGGAAUAAUGGAAUAGGACCUCGGUUCUAUUUUGUUGGUCUUCGGAACACGAGGUAAUGAUUAAGAGGGACAGACGGGGGCAUUCGUAUUGCGACGCUAGAGGUGAAAUUCUUGGACCGUCGCAAGACGAACUACUGCGAAAGCAUUUGCCAAGAAUGUUUUCAUUAAUCAAGAACGAAAGUUAGAGGUUCGAAGGCGAUCAGAUACCGCCCUAGUUCUAACCAUAAACGAUGCCAACCAGCGAUCCGCCUGAGUUCCUCAAAUGACUCGGCGGGCAGCUUCCGGGAAACCAAAGUGUUUGGGUUCCGGGGGAAGUAUGGUUGCAAAGCUGAAACUUAAAGGAAUUGACGGAAGGGCACCACCAGAAGUGGGGCCUGCGGCUCAAUUUGACUCAACACGGGAAAACUUACCCGGCCCGGACACUGGAAGGAUUGACAGAUUAAGAGCUCUUUCUUGAUUCAGUGGGUGGUGGUGCAUGGCCGUUCUUAGUUGGUGGAGCGAUUUGUCUGGUUAAUUCCGAUAACGAACGAGACUCUAGCCUACUAACUAGGCGUUCCGAUCAAUUUCGUCGGACGUUCUUCUUAGAGGGACAAGCGGCUUUUAGCCGCACGAGACAGAGCAAUAACAGGUCUGUAAUGCCCUUAGAUGUCCGGGGCCGCACGCGCGCCACACUGAAGGAAUCAACGUGUGCUUUCCCUGUCUGGUAGGACUGGGUAACCCGUUAAACCUCCUUCGUGAUAGGGAUAGGGGCUUGUAAUUGUUCCCCUUGAACGAGGAAUUUCCAGUAAGCGCGAGUCAUAAGCUCGUGUUGAUUACGUCCCUGCCCUUUGUACACACCGCCCGUCGCUACUACCGAUUGAAUGAUUUAGUGAGGUCCUCGGACUGGCGCUCGUAGCGACCUUUCGGCCGCGCCGACGUGCCGGAAAGAUGACCAAACUUGAUCAUUUAGAGGAAGUAAA